rnacentral:rRNA from 1 species
GAUGAACGCUAGCGGCAGGCUUAAUACAUGCAAGUCGAGGGGUAGCAGGCCUGUAGCAAUACAGAUGCUGACGACCGGCAAACGGGGGCGGAACACGUACAGAACCUUCCUUCGAGUGGGAGAGAGCCCAGGGAAACUUGGAGUAAUAUCCCAUAGGAUCAUAGAGUGGCAUACCUUAGUGAUGAAAGAUUUAUCGGUUGAAGAUGGAUGUGCGGCUGAUUAGGUAGUUGGUGUAGGUAACGGCUCACCAAGGCUUCGAUCAGUAACUGGUGUGAGAGCACGACCAGUCACACGGGCACGGAGACACGGGCCCGACUCCUACGGGAGGCAGCAGUAAGGAAUAUUGGGCAAUGGAGGCAACUCUGACCCAGCCAUGCCGCGUGGAGGAUGAAGGUCCUCUGGAUUGUAAACUUCUUUUAUUUGGGAAGAAAUGCCGAUUUUCUAAUUGGUUUGACGGUACCAGAUGAAUAAGCACCGGCUAACUCCGUGCCAGCCGCCGCGGUAAUAC